AGUGAACGCUGGCGGUAGGCCUAACACAUGCAAGUCGAACGGCAGCACAGUAAGAGCUUGCUCUUACGGGUGGCGAGUGGCGUACGGGUGAGGAAUACAUCGGAAUCUACUUUUUCUUGUGGGUUAACGUAGGGAAACUUACGCUAAUACCGCAUACGACCUACGGGUUAAAUCAUUGGAUCUUCGGACCUUGCGCUUUUUAAUUAGCCGAUUUCGGAUUAGUUAGUUGGCUGGGUAAAGGCCCACCAAGGCGACGAUCCGUAGCUGGUCUGAGAGGAUGAUCAGCAAAACUGGAACUGAGACACGGACCAGAAUCCUACGGGAGGAAGCAGUGGGGAAUAUUGGAGAAUGGGGGCAAGCCUGAUACAGCAAAACCGCGUGGGUGAAGAAGGACUUCGGGUUGUAAAGCACUUUUGUUGGGAAAGAAAAGAAGCAGGUUAAUACCCCGCUGUUCUGACGGUACCCAAAGAAUAAGCACCGGCUAACUUCGUG
rnacentral:rRNA from 1 species